rnacentral:lncRNA from 1 species
AGGGCUGAAGUUUCUCUUUUUUUCUUCACCAACAAUGAAAUGGGGAAGGAAACAGGGAUGAAGAACUUCAACCCUGAUCAGUGUUGAUGCUUCUAAAUCCUCUUGUCGCUGUGCUAACUCCAAAGAUCACAUCUGCAUGAGCAUGAUGCCCCCAGUUCAGACAGAUGCACAGACUUCAGGAGAGGGAGAAUUAACGCACAGUU